rnacentral:piRNA from 1 species
UUGCAGACAAAUCAAUCCCUGCCUCUCUC